CGCUCGUCACCACCCAGGGAAAGGCCCUGGCCGCCCGCACCGGCUUCAGAUUCCAGCCACAGCCACAGCCGCUCCCUCCUGUCCUUCAACGCAGUCAUGGGCCAAGCUGAGAUAAACCCUUCACCUCCUGAACAGGCGCUGGCGCCCAGGGCAUGACCAGCCAGGCCACCGAUACCCUAGGCCCAGCUUGCGGGAUGGGGAUCAGGGAGGUGGGCGGGGGUCAGGGAGGUGGACGGGGUCAGGGAAGUGGGUGCCCUCGGGGGCCUGCAGAGGUUUCUGUCUCCAUCGCUUUCCCUGUUGUGUGGAGGAAAUUCCACAGAUAUUUGCUGGGCACCGGCUGACUGUCCACCCCUCAGGUGUGGUUCCGUCCUUGCAUCCUAGAGGUAUCAAUACAUUCCCAACAGGGAAAUAAACAAAUGAGUUGGGGGAGGCCCCGGGGCAGGUGGCAUGAGUCUGGGGACCGCUUAAGAGCUGGGCACCUGGCAGGAGCAGGCACUGUCCCUCAGCCUCAGGGACAGAGGUCUUUCCGAAAGGCAUUCCAGGCAAAGUCAAGACCGGGUUCCCAGCCCUUUGCAUCACAUGGGCAGGUGUCCACUUCUGAAAUGGCUUUAAUCUCUAACCAAACAUCGUAGCGGCAGCGCACAGCAUCCCCCAGACAUCCCUCCAUGGUGGGGGCCUCUGAGGAGGUCAGGUUCUGGUGCCGGAGGGUUGGGCCCUGCACAGGCCGCCUGCCCUGCACGUGUCUGACUCCCUCCUGCCCCCAGAGCCUCUUCAUCUGAGGCCAGGGUGGAGAAGCGGAUACGCCCCUCAUUUCUCUAGUUCAGGCCAGACCUCCCCGUUCCAGGCCCUGCUAUGACCACAUCGACGUCUCCAGACGCCCCGCGGACACAGCACCCAGGUACAGCCGGGCGACAGCAGUGUCAGGGAUGGGGCCCCGGCCGGCUCCUGGCGGCUGUGCUGAUGCAGAAUCCCUGGUCCUGGUCCUCGUUUCCUCGUAACUCCGAAGGCCAGCCCCAGCCCCUGUGUGCUUCAGAGUAGAAAGCGUUUAUAGUGACCUGCUGAAAAUAGCAUCUUAGAAACACUUCGAGACGCGAGCUCCGUCCACACCCACAAGUGUUCUGUUGUCAGUCAUUUGUGCAAAACAAGCAAACGGAGGUGUAGGGAGGAAACUGUGGGGUGUACUGAGGAAACUGAGGCUUAUAGAGGAAACUGUGAGGCAGACGGAGGAAACUGAGGUGUAUGGAGGAAACUGAAGCAUACAGAGGAAAUUGAGGCGUAUGGAGGAAACUGGGGCGCGUAUGGAGGAAACUGUGGGGUGUAUGGAAGAAACUGGGGGGCGUAUGGAGGAAAUUGAGGCAUAUGGAGGAAACUGUGGGGUGUAUGGAGGAAACUGGGCAUAUGGAGGAAACUGUGGGGCGUAUGGAGGAAACUGUGGGGUGUAUGGAGGAAACCGGGGCGUAUGGAGGAAACUGGGGCAUACGGAGGAAACUGUGGGGCGUAUGGAGGAAAUUGAGGCAUAUGGAGGAAACUGGGGCAUACGGAGGAAACGCGGGUGUACGGAGCAAACUGUGAGGCAUACGGAGGAAACGCUGUGAGGCAUACGGCGAAGCGUCGCAGAAAGAAGCCAGUGUGGUUGGGCAGCUUCCCCAAGAAGCCUGGGACUCGUAGCCAGGGCCUCUGGUGAGCGCGGUGCCUGGACCCGCCUAGGAGGACAGGGGCUGUGUCUGUGCCGGCCACAGGCAGUGACUGUAAGCCCUGGAUGAGCUGGAGGAACUCAGCUUUGUGAACCACAGACCCGCCCGCCGCUCACCCUGGC
rnacentral:lncRNA from 10 species